AUUGAACGCUGGCGGCAGGCCUAACACAUGCAAGUCGAACGGUAACAGGAAACAGCUUGCUGUUUCGCUGACGAGUGGCGGACGGGUGAGUAAUGUCUGGGAAACUGCCUGAUGGAGGGGGAUAACUACUGGAAACGGUAGCUAAUACCGCAUAACGUCGCAAGACCAAAGAGGGGGACCUUCGGGCCUCUUGCCAUCGGAUGUGCCCAGAUGGGAUUAGCUAGUAGGUGGGGUAACGGCUCACCUAGGCGACGAUCCCUAGCUGGUCUGAGAGGAUGACCAGCCACACUGGAACUGAGACACGGUCCAGACUCCUACGGGAGGCAGCAGUGGGGAAUAUUGCACAAUGGGCGCAAGCCUGAUGCAGCCAUGCCGCGUGUAUGAAGAAGGCCUUCGGGUUGUAAAGUACUUUCAGCGGGGAGGAAGGGAGUAAAGUUAAUACCUUUACUCAUUGACGUUACCCGCAGAAGAAGCACCGGCUAACUCCGU
rnacentral:rRNA from 1 species